UGAGGAAUAUUGGUCAAUGGACGAGAGUCUGAACCAGCCAAGUAGCGUGCAGGAUGACGGCCCUAUGGGUUGUAAACUGCUUUUAUAUGGGAAUAAAGUGAGGGACGUGUCCCUUAUUGCAUGUACCAUACGAAUAAGGACCGGCUAAUUCCGUGCCAGCAGCCGCGGUAAUACGGAAGGUCCAGGCGUUAUCCGGAUUUAUUGGGUUUAAAGGGAGCGUAGGCUGUUUGUUAAGCGUGUUGUGAAAUGUAAGAGCUCAACUUUUAGAUUGCAGCGCGAACUGGCGGACUUGAGUGCGCACAACGUAGGCGGAAUUCAUGGUGUAGCGGUGAAAUGCUUAGAUAUCAUGACGAACUCCGAUUGCGAAGGCAGCUUACGGGAGCGCAACUGACGCUAAAGCUCGAAGGUGCGGGUAUCGAACAGG
rnacentral:rRNA from 1 species